rnacentral:lncRNA from 1 species
GAGGAACUGUUGAAGAAUUAUGGGAGAUUGCAGUAUCAAAGAUUGGAACUGUUUUACAAAAGCAAUGUUCAAAUCUUGAAGACUCAUCAAUGAUGCUAAAAAUAAAAGAACUUCUUGUUUGGUUUAGUCACACUCUUUAUAGCUAUGGCUUUAGUGUAAAUGCUUUGUAUGAUGUCUUACUACAAAUGAG